UCUGCAUUUGCACCUGCACCUUAGUGAACGAAUUUGUUAGCGUAUAAUUCAUGCAGAAAGGUGUUGGUGCUCAUGCAGACA